rnacentral:pre_miRNA from 1 species
GUGUUACUCCCUCCGUUCGGAAUUACUUGUCACAAAAAUGAAUGUAUCUACAACUAAAAUACAUCUAGAUACAUUCACUUCUUGGACGAGUAAUUCCGAACGGAGGGAGUACCUC